GGAUAACUUACCAGAAGGGUCAAAGAAGGUUGUUAUGCCACUGAGGUUUUCUAUAAAAUUACAGCAAGGGAUCCACAAUGUGGAUGAGAUGAACAAGAAGUUUGAUUACAAGAACCGUCUCGACAAGAAAGACUUGGUCAUGCUGCCAGUGCUCGAGUGCGCAGAUGUAACCGAUAAGGACGGAGGGAGGCAUUAUUGGGUCUUCAGUGUCAACUUGAGGGACGGA